CGUGGAGCUCGACUCGGAGCCGUUCAGGAGCUGGACGAUCCGGUCGUAUUUUUUACGGGUCACCGUCUUGGUUUUUCCUGAGUCCCCGAGGCAAAACGGAUCUGGUGGAGGUUCCUCUUAUCCUUCCACUGUACGUGAUCAGUCUCUUUAAUAAUUGUGCAAGGCAGGACUAUCCCACUGGCUCCAGCAGCAGCGCCUUACCCACAGAGGGUUCGGUUGGAUAAAUAAUUAAAAUCCCAUCCCUCGGCUUAGCGAAGGAAAAAGAAAAUAUUGACUCGGAUCCUUCUUCUUUUCCAUACAUCAACUGCACCCGGAUUCACCCUGAAUAGUGCAGGUGAAGAGGAGGAAAAAAAAAAAAAAAAAAAAAAAAAAAAAAGAACGGAAAGAAGAGAAAAAGCCCACCCUAGUCCGCCCCGGCAGCCCUCGGCUGUCUUCUCCGAAGGCUUUCUGAGCUUUCUGUCUCUGUCCUGGCGGGCUGUGCCUCUCCCCAAAGCCGCCUCGCCGCGCAGGAUGGAAGAAGCACUGAAGGGCACGCUGGUCUCUUUGCUCCCCCUUUAUUCCAAGGCUGGGCGGCUUUGCUUCAGAUAUCCCCGCUCCGGGCAUGAAGGUACUGGAAAGAAAGAAAGUUCUUACCUGCUAUUUUCUAAGCCUAAUGCAUCCGAUCCGCGUUUAAAGUACAUAAAUUUUAAUUUUUAAAAUAUGGUCUGUGAGAAUUUCACUUCCUCAUAUUGAGUCCCAUUGAAUUUUCAUAUGCCCUUUCAGGAAUUUUCCUCUGUUUAUUUACAUGGCGAUCCCAGCCGAUGGAAGGAAAAAAAAAAAAAAAAAAAAAAAAGAAAAAAAGAAGAAGAAAGAAAGAAAGAAAACCCAUAUAUAUGAGACAGGCUUGGAUAUUGGACCAGAGGAGAGAUCAGUCCCAGGAGGAUGUUGGUACAGGAAAGGAGGCGGCUCUCGUUGCUCUGCCAGUGUAAUGAUGGUGCUCACACAUGUAGGACUCCUCGGGUGCGGGGUAUCCUUUGGUCUCUGGGCUAAACUGGCUACAAGGCAUUCAAUUAAGAUUUUUGAUUCGUGUUGAUGGAAGAUAUGGAUGUUUCAUGACUGCUUCCAGUAAUCACUUGGCCAGAAGUCCUAGGAGCAUCCUGGAACCCCACCCACCCUGCCAGACAAUGGAUCAGCACAGGAUACAAAAACUAUGCUUACCAUAAGGAAUUGGUGAUCUAAAGAAGGUCAAUUUCAUGGUACAUGGCUUCAUUUUCAUACAAAUAUACAUUGUAGUGUAUUUUCACAACCUAUACUCAUUACAGAUAUAUAAUGUGUAUGUCAUUACAUAUAUAUAAUGUGUAUGUGUAUAGUAACUUCAGCAGAAUUUAUACAGUGAAUUUAGAGUGCAGAUUUUUAAUAUCCCAUUUUAAGAACUUCUGAUACUCUGAAAGUAGUACUAUCAGGUUAUAUUUAAGUAAGAAAAACUACCUGGGGUUAAGUUCACUGUCUGCUUUGUGGUGGGUUUUUGUUUCAGAAUUAACAGAGUUUAAUAACACAGUCUGGAAUCUCCUUGCAAUGAAAAGUGCUUGCACAGACCCUCCUCCUGUCAAGAGUUCUAAUGGCAACCUGUUACCCAGCUGAAAUUGAAACUCCUGUGGCAUCCUUGAGUAGAGGGACAAUGUUGGUCCUUCAAUGCCAUGGACUGAGGCUGUUCUGUGCUCUGCAUUUGCAGAACUCACUUGCCUCUGCCAGAAAAUGAAAGUUUCUCUCCUCUGGUGUGGAGACACCACGUCUGUGCCUUGCUGGCUUGAUUGCUCUGCAGCCAGCCUGAAACAAUACACCAGCAACAGAUAUGUGAACAUUUCCAUUCAGUGGAAUGAAGUGUUUGCUGCAAAACAGAGUUCUGACUAUUUGAAUUGCCUCAUGUGCAUCAAGCUGUGAAAGAGGUUUAAAGUAAAUCAUGAAUAUCAUAAAUACUGUAUUUUUUGAAUUAUCAGCUCUAACAAGUCCACUGGCACUAGAAAGUGAAGACAGGCAGAAUGGGGCCUGUCUCUCAUUGGAGCUACCUGGGUUUCUAGAUGAAAUUACAAUCUUGCAGUGACAUGGAACUGAGUCCAUGGGAAAAGCUGAGAGACAUUUUCAAGUUUUUUUAACUUGCUGAAAAAUAGAGAGUAGGUUUUUGGCUUAAAUCUGUCAUCUGACUUCUACCAAAGAGAAGUGUUUGGAAAACAUGCACCAUAUUUCAGUACAGUGCUUGAUAUGGCAUUACUGGAUGGCUAAGGGUAGCCUUUGAGGAUGUGAAUUUCCUGCCUCUUGGGUUUUUUGUUCAUUGACAUAGUGAGAAAAAAUUAUUUUGACACUUCUGACUUGCCAUGUCCAUGAGUUACGUUGAAGAGCCCCUUUCUGUGCAGACUGAAAAUCAUCCAUGCUGAACUGACAGAAGAUGUGCUGAGGAAUAAAGAAACUGCAGCUCCAAAUGGUUUGCUUUAAACUACAAACCUGGUGGUGCUUUUCCUCUCUUCUGGAGAGAAUUUCAGUGGAAGUGUCCUGUUGUGUCCUUUACAGCCCAGUGAUGGCAGCAACAAUGAGCACUGCAAGCCCUAAUGCUUGUGCAGGUAGAAGUCAGUGUUCACACACUGCAUGGGCUUGACUCUGCUCUCCUCCUUUGGUCUCACAUACCUGACAGACUCUUCUGAGUGGUUCAAUAAUCAGUCACCUGAUUGCAUUUGGGGAGGUAGGACUCUGCUGUGACACAUCUUCCCUGAGGAGAAAAUAGUCCCCAUUCCACCUACUGAUAUUACUGGCAAAGGACCACUCUAGAAAGGUAUCCUUGAUGGCAAUUCCAAGGUAUUUGCUGCUUAGGAGAAACUACAGGUAGUCAGAAGCUACAGGUAGUACUACUUGGUAGCACUAAUGUAUGAAAACUUCAAACGGAGGGAGGUUGUCUAGGAUUUGAUUUAUCUAGUGAAUGAGCUAUCAUGGAGCAAACCCUAAACUAUUAAUUGCUGUUCAAAUUUUUUUUUUCUACAAAUUGUUUCCAGUUCCCAUAUUCUUCUCUAUUUUUCUUAAGUUACUGCUGAUUUUGGAAAAUUAAGAUGAGGUAGGCCAAAGCAAUGACUCAGAGAUGGCUUAUAAGAACCUACUUGCUAAAUAUUUGGGGGAAAGAGGCUGUAUGUUUCUAGGUUUAUAAAGGAAUGUGAGAAUGAAUUCAUGAAAUGUGGGAAUAGUGUCAACUAGUGUUCUGGUUAGGAUCGUUUCACAUGGAGUGAUGUUGAUGAUGCCAAUGAGAAUUAUGCUGGGAUAUAUUCUGUCUUUAUUUUUUAACAAUCUUCUUUGGCGACAUUCGGGAUCCCUUGAGAAAAUGCUCAAACUCACUUCCCCUUCAUGCAGUUAGAAAACUCCAGACUUGGCUUCAUUCUACAAAGCUGCUUUGCUUUAAGUAGCAGUUCUGCAAAACAUAACUUCACAUAUUUCUUUUACUCUAUGCUUUAUUACUGAGAAUAUUUGCAUGAAAACAGGGUCUUUGUUUAAAAGUUCCUGCUUCUUAUUCAUCACAGCUCGUUGAGUUGGAAGCAAUUACGGUACCCUGUACAGAAGGCUCCGAUCCCUUCAGAACAGAAAAAUAUAAGCAGGAAUUGACAAACUUGUAAGAAUAUAAGCUCUUGUUUUCAUGAAAAUUUCUUCAUUUCCUUGGUAAUAAAAAAGGAAAAGGGAGUAAAUAUGUGGCACACUAUGAAAAAAAAAAAAAAGAAAAGAGAAUGUUUCAAAUGUCUUAAGGUUUGUAUAUGGGCACUGAAAAUUUUUUAUUGUUACAGUGACACAUUCAACCUUGCUUGUUUUCAUGCUAAAGAAGGUGUGCACAAAGGUGGGUUGUUUUGGUUUUUGUGUGUGUGUAUAGUAUUUUUUAUUCUUUCUACAGGUAAUGUAUCUUUCUCAGCUAAGGCAAAACUAAUAUAAACCAGCUACUAGAAUACCACCCAGUGUGUUGUCUAAACCAAGGCAGGACUAAUAAGGUAGUGCUGUAAAUGCUAGCAGUCUAUCUCUGUUAGUGUUCUCAACUUCAUUGCCAUGGAGGGAGAUGUGAUAAUUGGAAAAUGUUCCAGAAAGUUUCAGAUAUGGCUCCACAGCCAUUGUGUCAGGCACUACCAGACAAAGUCAGCACUGGAACAGAGUGUGCUUAACCAGCUGCCAUCGUCCUGCUUACAACAGGAUGGAAACUA